rfam:Planctomycetes bacterium SM23_25 WORSMTZ_7507, whole genome shotgun sequence.
GGUGGCGAAAACCCGGGAAAUCGGGCUCAUAUCCCGAAGGUCGCAGGUUCGAAUCCUGUCCCCGCUA